UUGUACUGAAGCUUUAAUGUACACAGGUUGUUUUAUAACUUGAUAGUGUGACUAUUUCCUGUAAGUGAACUCUGUGCUGAUUCAGGGUUUAAUUUAACACACCGAUGUUGGAGUGAAGUAAACGUGUAUCCUGCUGUAAUCUGAAGAAGGAGACGUGACCUCCAACAUGAGUGUGUCUGCAAAACAGGACUUAAAGAAAGACGAGAGAAUGAUGGAGGGAAAGAGAUCAGACUCACCAGAACACAGCUGUGUGUCCAUGAAGAGUGACAAGUCAAUGGAUUUUCCAAUUGCCUUCAGAGACAGAGACAGUUCUACUGAUGUGAGACCAAAAAAAUCAAACAUCAGGAGAAAACAGCUGGACUCUAUAUUCAAGG